rnacentral:rRNA from 1 species
CAGGACGAACGCUGGCGGCGUGCCUAACACAUGCAAGUCGAACGAAGCAUUUGGAGUUGAUCCCUUCGGGGUGACGCACCUUAUGACUUAGUGGCGGACGGGUGAGUAACACGUGAGCAACCUGCCUCUCAGAGUGGAAUAACAGUUGGAAACGGCUGCUAAUACCACAUAACGUUUUUUGUGCCGCAUGACACUUCAACCAAAGAUUUAUCGCUGAGAGAUGGGCUCGCGUCCGAUUAGGUAGAUGGUGGGGUAACGGCCUACCAUGCCGACGAUCGGUAGCCGGACUGAGAGGUUGAUCGGCCACAUUGGGACUGAGACACGGCCCAGACUCCUACGGGAGGGCAGCAGUGGGGGAGUAUUGCACAAUGGGCGCAAGCCUCGAUGCAGCAACGCCGCGUGCGGGAAGACGGCCUUCGGGUUGUAAACCGCUGUCCUUGGGGAAGGAAACAAAUGACGGUACCCAAGAAGGAAGCCACGGCUAACUACGUGCCAGCAGCUGC